rnacentral:rRNA from 1 species
AAGAUGGCGACCGGCGCACGGGUGAGUAGCACGUAUCCAACCUGCCGAUAACUCCGGAAUAGCCUUUCGAAAGAAAGAUUAAUACCGGAUAGUAUACGAAUAUCGCAUGAUAUUUUUAUUAAAGAAUUUCGGUUAUCGAUGGGGAUGCGUUCCAUUAGUUUGUUGGCGGGGUAACGGCCCACCAAGACUACGAUGGAUAGGGGUUCUGAGAGGAAGGUCCCCCACAUUGGAACUGAGACACGGUCCAA